GCUAUCCUUGCCCAUCUAUCUUUGCCUUUUGUUUAAGCCUCUGAGUUUCUUUUAAACCCGGCAAUUCCCUAACCUUCAAUCUUUUAUUCGCCAAUUGCACAAUGGGUUUAGGGCUGUAAAUGGGUUGGAAUUGGGUCAAAUCCAUGUUGUAUCUGCAUCCGACCUUGAUAAGAAAAAUCGAGUUCGGAUCCAUCAAAAUGAGUAAACAUGGAACUAGCUUCCAAACCUGAUUAAUAAUUAGAUUCAAGUUUUCUUGAGGUUCAACUUAGCACAUGAUUUUUGUACACCAACUAGUUAGCAGUUAGCAAUUUCCAAAACUGAAAGAACUCUUAUCACAAUAGUCCUCCGUAAAUAGUGAAUCUUCUUAGUUUUUGGUGAGAAAGGAGCAUGAUCUAAGAGGCGAAUGCUUGGUUUUGAAAAACAAAUCCAAUCACUUUAGAAACAUAUUCGAAUUUCAAUAUACAUCUAGUUUGAUUGAAACGUAAUCAAAAUCUAAGUGUUGGCUUGGAUUUGGAACUAAAAUAGCAACAGGCAAGAGUUAAGUAGAGCAUGCAUGCGAGAAAGACGUAAUUCCAAUUAAGAAGAAAAGGAAUUAACACAAGUCAUGUGGCCAAUUUCUUUAUAUUUCUAUCCUUAUAUUCAGGUUAUUGGGUUUUUGUAUUUGAACAUAGCUGCAUCAGCAUUCAAUCAAAUAAGAAAUCAGAUCCAAUAUAUAGAAUCCGACUUUGAUUUGAUAAGGUUUUUCCCAACUUAAUUUGGAUCUAUACCGCAGUUAUUAUAAAAUAAUCAGAUUGGGCUAUUGAGUUUUCGGGUAUCAUUUACCACAAUAUCCACAUGUCCGAAAGAAAAGAAGCAAAACAGCGCAGAAUCUUUUUAAAAGCAUCCAUGCAUCUUGGCUUUGUAGAACCAUUUAUAAUGGUUAUUGGUCAUUGAGGAGAAAGGAGCACUAUCAUCUUAUUGCUUGUUUCAG
rnacentral:lncRNA from 1 species